rnacentral:rRNA from 2 species
ACGAACUCUGGUAUUGAUUGGUGCUUGCAUCAUGAUUUACAUUUGAGUGAGUGGCGAACUGGUGAGUAACACGUGGGAAACCUGCCCAGAAGCGGGGGAUAACACCUGGAAACAGAUGCUAAUACCGCAUAACAACUUGGACCGCAUGGUCCGAGCUUGAAAGAUGGCUUCGGCUAUCACUUUUGGAUGGUCCCGCGGCGUAUUAGCUAGAUGGUGGGGUAACGGCUCACCAUGGCAAUGAUACGUAGCCGACCUGAGAGGGUAAUCGGCCACAUUGGGACUGAGACACGGCCCAAACUCCUACGGGAGGCAGCAGUAGGGAAUCUUCCACAAUGGACGAAAGUCUGAUGGAGCAACGCCGCGUGAGUGAAGAAGGGUUUCGGCUCGUAAAACUCUGUUGUUAAAGAAGAACAUAUCUGAGAGUAACUGUUCAGGUAUUGACGGUAUUUAACCAGAAAGCCACGGCUAACUACGUGCCAGCAGCCGCGGUAAUACGUAGGUGGCAAGCGUUGUCCGGAUUUAUUGGGCGUAAAGCGAGCGCAGGCGGUUUUUUAAGUCUGAUGUGAAAGCCUUCGGCUCAACCGAAGAAGUGCAUCGGAAACUGGGAAACUUGAGUGCAGAAGAGGACAGUGGAACUCCAUGUGUAGCGGUGAAAUGCGUAGAUAUAUGGAAGAACACCAGUGGCGAAGGCGGCUGUCUGGUCUGUAACUGACGCUGAGGCUCGAAAGUAUGGGUAGCAAACAGGAUUUAGAUACCCUGGUAGUCCAUACCGUAAACGAUGAAUGCUAAGUGUUGGAGGGUUUCCGCCCUUCAGUGCUGCAGCUAACGCAUUAAGCAUUCCGCCUGGGGAGUACGGCCGCAAGGCUGAAACUCAAAGGAAUUGACGGGGGCCCGCACAAGCGGUGGAGCAUGUGGUUUAAUUCGAAGCUACGCGAAGAACCUUACCAGGUCUUGACAUACUAUGCAAAUCUAAGAGAUUAGACGUUCCCUUCGGGGACAUGGAUACAGGUGGUGCAUGGUUGUCGUCAGCUCGUGUCGUGAGAUGUUGGGUUAAGUCCCGCAACGAGCGCAACCCUUAUUAUCAGUUGCCAGCAUUAAGUUGGGCACUCUGGUGAGACUGCCGGUGACAAACCGGAGGAAGGUGGGGAUGACGUCAAAUCAUCAUGCCCCUUAUGACCUGGGCUACACACGUGCUACAAUGGAUGGUACAACGAGUUGCGAACUCGCGAGAGUAAGCUAAUCUCUUAAAGCCAUUCUCAGUUCGGAUUGUAGGCUGCAACUCGCCUACAUGAAGUCGGAAUCGCUAGUAAUCGCGGAUCAGCAUGCCGCGGUGAAUACGUUCCCGGGCCUUGUACACACCGCCCGUCACACCAUGAGAGUUUGUAACACCCAAAGUCGGUGGGGUAACCUUUUAGGAACCAGCCGCCUAAGGUGGACAGAUGAUAGGGGAAAUCGGAUACUAGGGGGUC